GGAUUGUGGCUCAGUGGUAGAGCGAUUGCCUUGAGCGUGCAAGACCUGAGUUCGAUCCUUAGCACCA
rnacentral:tRNA from 1 species